rnacentral:lncRNA from 10 species
ACCUCAUGGCCAGGUUUGUGCCCUUAGUGAGGUCCCCAAGGGGGAACCUGGAAGGACCACUGUCUUCUUAUAGCCCUUCAGACCCCCCCAGAGGCUCUGCCUCCCCACACCCUGGCCUCCCUCCCCAGGCUCUGGGAGGCCAGGCCUCGCCCCCUCUCCUGUGCUGCUCCUUCUCCCAGAGGACUGCAUCCGCCCUCAGCACUUCAAGGCCCUGCAUGUGCCCGCACCUCUCCACUCCCCUGGCUCAGCUUGGACCUCUCUUCUGAACUCCAGACUUGCGGAUCCUGCUCCCCUUCCCACUUCUGCACUUGGGGGUCUAAUGAGGCCUCAGUGGAACAUAGAAUUCCUCCCGCCCUGACAUCAUAGCUCCCGCCUGGGAGGCCUCCUGGAUGACUCCUUUCGCCUCCUCCCUUCCCUGAGAGCAGCCCCUGGCUCAACCUCCACCUCCGUGCUGCCUCGGACCACCUGCCCAGUCGAGCUGCCAUCACCUGCCAGGGUGAGCCACUGCGCCUGAUCAAGGCAUCACCGUUGAACCUCCUAAGAGGAAAACAUAAGGCUGUGCAAUACCAGGAACUGGGAUUCUAGGUAAAAACUUCUAG